UCUUUAUAAUAAAUUUAUUAUAGUAAAUUAUUUUAUUUAAAUUAAUAGUUUAAUAUUAAAUUAUUUUAUUGGGGUGAUACAAAAAUUUAACUAACUUUUUUAAUUUAAUUACUUUAAUUAAAGAUUUCAAACUUAUGAUCUAUUAUUAAUAAUUCAAAGAAUAAGA
rnacentral:rRNA from 1 species